GAUGAACGCUAGCUACAGGCUUAACACAUGCAAGUCGAGGGGCAGCAUGAACUUAGCUUGCUAAGUUUGAUGGCGACCGGCGCACGGGUGAGUAACACGUAUCCAACCUGCCUAUGACUCGGGGAUAGCCUUUCGAAAGAAAGAUUAAUACCCGAUGGCAUAGUUCUUCCGCAUGGUAGAACUAUUAAAGAAUUUCGGUCAUCGAUGGGGAUGCGUUCCAUUAGGUUGUUGGCGGGGUAACGGCCCACCAAGCCUUCGAUGGAUAGGGGUUCUGAGAGGAAGGUCCCCCACAUUGGAACUGAGACAAGGUCCAAACUCCUACGGGAGGCAGCAGUGAGGAAUAUUGGUCAAGGGACGAGAGUCUGAACCAGCCAAGUAGCGUGAAGGAGGACUGCCCUAGGGGUUGUAAACUUCUGUUAUAAGGGAAUAAAGUGAGGCACGUGUGCCUUUUUGUAUGUACCGGAUGAAUAAGGAUCGGCUAACUCCGUG
rnacentral:rRNA from 1 species